UAAGUAGAUAGUGAAAGCGUUCGGCUCAACCGAAUAUACAUUGUCUAAACUGCAAAGCUAGAGGACGAGAGAGGUCACUGGAAUUCCAAGUGUAGGAGUGAAAUCCGUAGAUAUUUGGAGGAACACCGAUGGCGUAGGCAGGUGACUGGCUCGUUCCUGACACUAAGGCACGAAAGCGUGGGUAGCAAACGGGAUUAGAUACCCCGGUAGUCCACGCCGUAAACGAUGGAUGCUA
rnacentral:rRNA from 1 species